rnacentral:rRNA from 1 species
ACACGACUCUCGACAAUGGAUAUCUCGGCUCUCGCAUCAAUGAAGAGCGCGCGAAAUGCGAUACGUGGUGCGAAUUACAGAAUCCCGCGAACCAUCGAGUCUUUGAACGCAAGUUGCGCCCUAGGCCAAUCGGUCAAGGGCACGUCCGCCUGGCUUCAAGC